UACGGAGGGUGCAAGCGUUAUCCGGAAUUACUGGGUUUAAAGGGUGCGUAGGCGGUUAAUUAAGUCAGAGGUGAAAGGUAAUUGCUUAACGAUUGAAUUGCCUUUGAUACUGGUUAACUUGAAAGUAGAUGAGGUUGGCUGAAUGUGAUAUGUAGCGGUGGAAUGCGUAGAUAUAUCAGAGAACACCGAUUGCGAAGGCAGCUGACUAAUCUUUCUUUGCCGCGGAGGGACGAAAGCGUGGGGAGCGAACGGG
rnacentral:rRNA from 1 species